UACGUAGGUGGCAAGCGUUUGUCCGGAAUUACUGGGGUGUAAAGCGCGUGUAGGCGGCAGACCAAGUCGGCGGUGAAAGCGCCCGGCUCAACUGGGCGAGGUCCGUGGAAACUGGUCAGCUGGAGGACGGUAGAGGCGAGUGGAAUUCCCGGUGUAGUGGUGAAAUGCGUAGAGAUCGGGAGGAACACCUGUGGCGAAGGCGGCUCGCUGGGCCGGUCCUGACGCUGAGACGCGAAGGCGUGGGGAGCGAACGGGG
rnacentral:rRNA from 1 species